rnacentral:lncRNA from 1 species
GUUUCCGGUCUGUAUGUUGUGCUUGUGCUCCUUUGUUCGCUUAGCCAAACUUCUCUUCGUGCUGCCAGUGUGGUGUUGGGAGCGUUCAUCGUCUGUGAGGGCUGUGGGGAUGGAGUGGGUGCCGGCUUUUUUAUCUUUGGCCGCCGGAUCCUUGUCAUUUCGAGGGGUCUCAAAUAUGGUAGGAGCGCGUUUUUUAGCUAUCUUAACUGGUUUGUGUCUUGUGGCUUUGGAGAGGACGCGGUCAAUGGCCUUGUAGUGUGUGGCCGGCAUGUGUGCGAGUUGGGGGUUUUGGUUGUUGUGUUGGUUGUGUGGCGGGGGUCCGGUGGCGUUGUCUAGUGUCUUUUUCCGGAUGCCCUCCAUGACUUUGGUGGGGUGUCCAGGUUUGUGCCCG